CCUAAGUUAUAGAGAUGACUGGGGGAAAUUUUCAGGUUCUGUGAGAUGGUCUUAAAUGCUAUUUGCAAAACUGGAAUUUACUUGGAGAUUCUUAGUUGAUAAUUAAAUCUGAGCCAUGUGCCUGGAAAUCUAUAAAUUCCUGUCUUCCAAUCUGAUAUGUUUCAGUUAAGAACGAAUCGCGUGCGCUGAUUACUAAAAUAUGUUGUCAGCUUCAACGUCUGUAGGUGACAUGUUGUUUUUUUACAUUUGUACAGGUAGUGAAAAACUUUAACUUAUACAUAGGACACAUAGAAACUCUGCAUUUCAAAAAUUUGAAUUUGGGGCAAAUUAUUGAAAUUCAUGAUUAACCCAUGAGGCUGGGUCCCCCCAAAUACAAACACAUUCAAAAACAGAUUUCGAAAGUGUCAAGAAAUAUUAGAAAAGUAUCCUUUACUCAGUAUGAUUAAGUCUACCUCAGAUGCUCCAAGCUAUUUUUAAGCAAUUGCUUGAAAUUUUCAACACCAGAGCUGAUACGCUAUCACUGGGUUUCUCACUAAUUCCAGCUCUCACUCUUGGCAAUACACCCCAGCUUUGAUCUGCCUCCGGCUCUUUGGCUUCCACAUUCAGAUUUUGUUCUCUCUGGCUUUUACUCAUUGCUUUCCUUAAUGGAUUUUGGCUUCUCCUAACGUUCUGGGUUUUCUUACUCUGUACAACCUCAGAUGGGCAGACCUUCGUUACCCUCAUGCCCGGCUCACCUCACUAUGGCUGUCUGGAACACACGCCCCUGUGAACUGUCAAUGAGACCCCCCUGGCCUUGUCAUCUUUGAGGUGGGGCAGAUAUUUGAACAAAAAGCUUCACAGAUACCUUGGAUAUGCCCGUCCUCUCCUGCUUGUGUUUGGGCUAACCAAUCUGCUAACGGGAAGAAAUCAGAAAUAUUGCUCAGCUUUUGUUGUGUAUAUUUGAAGGCUUUUCUGGGAUGCUCAAGAGACAGAAAUGCCAUCCCAGAAAGUGGACCCUGGGAAAGCUGUGAGAAAAGGUUUCGAGUCUCAGACGGUCCAGGAGCACCCACAUGGUUUUUAGACCGGAAGUUUGAUUCAGCUUUUCAGUCCAAGAGAAAGGCGGUCCCAGCCAGCUCAGGACAGAGAUUUCAACACUUCAAAAGAUGA
ensembl:lncRNA